UGAAAUAAAACUUCUUUAAACACGCUUGAUUUGGCGAGUAAGCUGGAGCAUAAACGACGUGACGAAAGCGUUACGAAAAGUGUGAUCGGGCGAGGACAAUGGAAGUUGAGAUGAAGUUAGUGACGACAGAAAGCGAGAGAAAGUUACGUUUCGUAUAUUACUGCAGGGCAACUAAAGAAGUUUUACUUCAUUCGUGUGGUCGAAAGCGCACUCGAUGUUUUGUAUUGAAUCAAUUCAACUCGAUCAGUAAAAUGCAGCCAGAACAGUUUGUAUUAUUAACAAUGGGAGGCUAUAAAGU
rnacentral:misc_RNA from 1 species